rnacentral:piRNA from 1 species
UCGUCUAUCGCAGCACGAACGAGGUCCA